rnacentral:rRNA from 1 species
AGUGAACGCUGGCGGCAUGCCUAACACAUGCAAGUCGAACGGCAGCACAGUAAGAUCUUGCCCCUACGGGUGGCGACUGGCGGACGGGUGAGGAAUACAUCGGAUUCCACUUUUUCGUGGGGGACAACGUAGGGAAACUUACGCUACUACCUCAUACGUCCUACGGCUGAAAUCAAGGGAUCUUCGGACCUUGCCCGAUUCAAUGAGCCGAUGUCGGAUUAGCUAGUUGGCGAGGUAAAGGCACACCAAGGCGACGAACCGUAGCUGGUCUGAGAGGAUGAUCAGCCACACUGGAACUGAGACACGGUCCAGACUCCUACGGGAGGCAGCAGUGGGGAAUAUUGGACAAUGGGCGAAAGCCUGAUGCAGCAAUGCCGCGUGGGUGAAGAAGGCCUUCGGGUUGUAAAGCCCUUUUGUUGGGAAAGAAAAGCAGCAGAUUAAUACCCCGCUGUUCUGACGGUACCCAAAGAGAAAGCACCGGCUAACUUCGUG